GCAAUUCUUGUGGGUCUGUUCUUAUCACAUCAAUCAUCACUUGGUAACUGCUGAUGGACAUUCUCAGAAGACUGUAUACUAAGAUGGGCCACUGCUGAGAAGUAUCUUGGUAACUGGACAGCUUUGGAGGGGAAAAGAUGAAAAACAUGCUUGGCUUAUCAAGCCCUGAUGCAUUAAUGUCAUCUCAGUGUCCCCAUGUGAAAGAAAAAGUAACUUUCUGCCUUGACUUCAGCAGCAGGUUUUUGCCUGAAGGCGAGACUAUGUGAGUAUUGCCAUGAGGGCUCUGCGUUGUACAUUCUUCCACCUAUGGCACAAUCAAGUCACA
rnacentral:lncRNA from 1 species